rnacentral:rRNA from 2 species
CUGGCUCAGGAYGAACGCUGGCGGCAUGCCUAAUACAUGCAAGUCGAACGGAGGUGCUUGCACCUCAGUGGCGAACGGGUGAGUAACACGUAUCUAAUCUACCUUCUAGCGGGGGAUAACUUUUGGAAACGAAAGGUAAUACCGCAUGUGGAUGUUAUUAUCGCAUGAGAAAACAUUCAAAGAUCCGUUUGGAUCACUAGAAGAUGAGGAUGCGGCGUAUUAGCUAGUAGGCGGGGUAAAGGCCCACCUAGGCGAUGAUACGUAGCCGAACUGAGAGGUUGAUCGGCCACAUUGGGACUGAGAUACGGCCCAGACUCCUACGGGAGGCAGCAGUAGGGAAUUUUUCACAAUGGACGAAAGUCUGAUGAAGCAAUGCCGCGUGAGUGAUGACGGCCUUCGGGUUGUAAAGCUCUGUUGUAAGGGAAGAAAACAUAGGAGAGGAAAUGCUCUUAUCUUGACGGUACCUUACCAGAAAGCCACGGCUAACUAUGUGCCAGCAGCCGCGGUAAUACAUAGGUGGCAAGCGUUAUCCGGAUUUAUUGGGCGUAUAGGGUGCGUAGGCGGUUUCGCAAGUUUGAGGUUAAAGCCCGGAGCUCAACUCCGGUUCGCCUUGAAAACUGCGGGACUAGAAUAUCAGAGAGGUAAGCGGAAUUCCAUGUGUAGCGGUAAAAUGCGUAGAUAUAUGGAAGAACACCAGUGGCGAAAGCGGCUUACUGGCUGAUUAUUGACGCUGAGGCACGAAAGCGUGGGGAGCAAAUAGGAUUAGAUACCCUAGUAGUCCACGCCGUAAACGUUGAGUACUAAGUAUUGGGGAUUACCUCAGUGCUGCAGCUAACGCAUUAAGUACUCCGCCUGAGUAGUAUGCUCGCAAGAGUGAAACUCAAAGGAAUUGACGGGGACCCGCACAAGUGGUGGAGCAUGUGGUUUAAUUCGAAGCAACACGAAGAACCUUACCAGGGCUUGACAUACAGUGCAAAGCUACAGAGAUGUAGUGGAGGUUAACAUUGAUACAGGUGGUGCAUGGUUGUCGUCAGUUCGUGCCGUGAGGUGUUGGGUUAAGUCCCGCAACGAACGCAACCCUUGUCGUUAGUUACUAACAUUAAGUUGAGGACUCUAACGAGACUGCUAGUGUAAGCUAGAGGAAGGUGGGGAUGACGUCAAAUCAUCAUGCCCCUUAUGUCCUGGGCUACACACGUGCUACAAUGGCCGAUACAAAGAGUCGCAAUCUCGCGAGGGGGAGCUAAUCUCAAAAAGUCGGUCUCAGUUCGGAUUGAAGUCUGCAACUCGACUUCAUGAAGCCGGAAUCACUAGUAAUCGCGAAUCAGCUAUGUCGCGGUGAAUACGUUCUCGGGUCUUGUACACACCGCCCGUCAAACCACGAGAGUUGGUAAUACCAGAAGUACGUUUCCUAACCGUAAGGAAGGCGCGUCCCAAGGUAGGACUAGCGAUUGGGGUUAAGUCGUAACAAGGUAUCCGUACGGGAACGUGCGGAUGGAUCAC